UACAGGGGGUGCAAACGUUGCUCGGAAUCAUUGGGCGUAAAGCGCACGUAGGCGGUUCGUUAUGUCGGAUGUGAAAGCCCUUGGCUUAACCGAGGAAGUGCAUCCGAAACUGGCGAGCUAGAGUACGAAAGAGGAUCGCGGAAUUCCCGGUGUAGAGGUGAAAUUCGUAGAUAUCGGGAGGAACACCGGUGGCGAAAGCGGCGAUCUGGGUCGAUACUGACGCUGAGGUGCGAAAGCGUGGGGAGCAAACAGG
rnacentral:rRNA from 1 species